AUUCCCCUAGUAACUGCGAGUGAAGCGGGAAAAGCUCAAAUUUAAAAUCUGGUGGUCUUUGGCCAUCCGAGUUGUAAUUUAGAGAAGCGUCUUCCGCGCUGGACCGUGCACAAGUCUCCUGGAAUGGAGCGUCAUAGAGGGUGAGAAUCCCGUCUUUGGCAUGGAAUCCCAGGGCUUCUGUGAUGCGCUCUCGACGAGUCGAGUUGUUUGGGAAUGCAGCUCAAAAUGGGUGGUGAACUCCAUCUAAAGCUAAAUAUUGGCGAGAGACCGAUAGCGAACAAGUACCGUGAGGGAAAGAUGAAAAGCACUUUGGAAAGAGAGUGAAACAGUACGUGAAAUUGUUGAAAGGGAAACGCUUGAAGUCAGUCGCGUCGACCGAGACUCAGCCUUGCCUCGGCUUGGUGUACUUCUCGGCUGACGGGUCAGCAUCGAUUUCGAUCCUCGGAUAAUGGCAAGGGAAAGGUAGCACCUUUUUAGGUGUGUUAUAGUCCUCUGUCGCAUGCGAGGGUCGGGAUCGAGGAACUCAGCACGCACCUCAGGGUGUCGGGGCCUUGGCCCACGUUUACGUGCUUAGGAUGCUGGCGUAAUGGCUUUAAACGACCCGUCUUGAAACACGGACCAAGGAGUCUAACAUACCCGCGAGUGUUCGGGUGGAAAACCCGUGCGCGUAAUGAAAGUAAAAGUUGGGACCUCUGUCGCGGAGGGCACCGACGCCCGGACCAGACCUUCUGUGACGGCUCUGCGGUAGAGCGUGUAUGUUGGGACCCGAAAGAUGGUGAACUAUGCCUGAAUAGGGUGAAGCCAGAGGAAACUCUGGUGGAGGCUCGUAGCGAUUCUGACGUGCAAAUCGAUCGUCAAAUUUGGGUAUAGGGGCGAAAGAC
rnacentral:rRNA from 1 species